rnacentral:rRNA from 1 species
ACGAACGCUGGCGGCGUGCUUAACACAUGCAAGUCGCACGGUGAACUCCGCUUGCGGGGGGAUCAGUGGCGAACGGGUGAGUAACACGUGGGCAACCUGCCCUCAGCUCUGGGAUAACUCCAAGAAAUUGGGGCUAAUACCGGAUAUGACCGCUGACCGCAUGGUCUGGUGGUGGAAAGAUUUAUCGGCUGGGGAUGGGCCCGCGGCCUAUCAGCUUGUUGGUGGGGUAGUGGCCUACCAAGGCGACGACGGGUAGCCGGCCUGAGAGGGUGACCGGCCACACUGGGACUGAGACACGGCCCAGACUCCUACGGGAGGCAGCAGUGGGGAAUAUUGCGCAAUGGGCGAAAGCCUGACGCAGCGACGCCGCGUGGGGGAUGACGGCCUUCGGGUUGUAAACCUCUUUCAGCAGGGACGAAGCGAAAGUGGCGGUACCUGCAGAAGAAGCACCGGCCAACUACGUG